rnacentral:lncRNA from 12 species
AAAAGACUCUGGGAAAUACUCUUGUUCUUUGAGAAACUUUAAAACAACUGUAUCUGAAGAAAUUAGCAUUCACAUCGAAGGUUGGUUGAAAUGAUAUAUAUAUAUUAUUAACAUUUUCAUAUUCACACAAUCAUAUUUAUAUUUGGUUAAUGAGAGAUGUGCAUAACUGAAAGUAAAUGGUAUCUUUUUAUUGUCCUCAGUAGAUGUUGCCGGGUCGCCAACCGUUCUGAUUAUUGUGGUGUUUUUAGUCUCACUUGUUUUCAUCACUGCAGCUGUGAUUCUUAUAAGAAGGAAAGCAAAAACUCAAGUAAAACCAAUGGAGAAGAGAGAAGAAGCCGAGGGUUCUCUUUACUGCACUCUUCAAACAACCGAUGACACAGUCUACUCGACCAUCACAAACCCGCAAGAAACCGAAGAUGUACUGCAGGAAGUGUAAUAUGCUUCAAGUGUGAGAAUUCAAGACACACAUCACUGUGGUUAUUUAUUUAUUUUUUUUAUUCUGACCAGUGGUUAUGGAGAUGGUGUGACAUGAUUCACGAUUCAUCAUUUUUGACAACAUAUUUGUCCAUCUUGACAUAAUAUUGUUAGUGAAUAUGAGUUUGUGUGUGCUCGGGCUAGCAAUACCACAACUGAGGUGCCCUUGAGCAAGGCACCGAACCCCCAACUGCUCCCCGGGCGCGGCAGCAUAAAUGGCUGCCCACUGCUCCGGGUGUGUGUUCACUGCUGUGUGUGUGCACUUUGGAUGGGUUAAAUGCAGAGCACAAAUUCUGAGUAUUAGUCACCAUACUUGGCUAAACUCAAAAAUUCAAAAAUUCCACCUCUGGCAAAUAUUAUUAUGCUUCUUUGAACCUUUUUAGAAGGGCAAUUUUGCUUGAAUAAAGGGCAGCGUUUGGAGUUGGGAGUAGGCAGUUAAGAUAAAGAAAGCAUUUCCAUAGCAACAACUCUUGACUUCAGUGUUCACUCAGCUUUCUGUAACACAGCUGCCAGCUGAAAACAGCUAGCAUUCAGACAAGAUAAAGUGCAACAUGUUUUUUUCGGUUCUUUCUUGUUUGGAAAAAUUUAUACAAAUGCUUCUUGUUUGCUGAUUGGCUGCAGUUGGUUUGAGUUUGAGUUGGUUUGGUUUAAAGAGUUUAUUUAACAUUCAUAAAACAUAAUUUAUGUAAAUUCUAUUUUGAUAGCAAUUUUUGAAAUACUCUUUCAAUAUCUAAGAAAAAUAGCAAAGGAGGGUUUACGUUUGUUCCAUUUACAUGAUGUGUAAAUUUACCAACCAAAAUUACCAUUUAGUCAGAAAACAGGGAAUUCAAUAUAUUCUUUAAAACAAGGCAUUUUCUAAAACCAAUUUUCUAUUUUUCUAAGGGAUAAAUGUUUUCUUUUUUUUUUUCACUGAAAGCUAAUAGAAAACAUUCACCCAAAACUUAUAUAUAAUCACAGCUACAGUAAAAAACAUGUUCAAGAGUUCCAGGAAAGGAUGAACCAACUGAAAUCUCUUCUUUUAAAAUUUCCCUGUGGAUAUAUUCUAAGCAAGAACUUUUAACAAGUCUCUUCCACCUUUUGGGGCAACAGGGUCAGUGUCAGAUAGAGUGUAAAAGAAACCUCAACAUCAAAGUCAUAGCAAAGAAAAUCACCAAAAUACUUAAAAACUCUGUAUUAUGAAUGUUAUUACACUUAUUGUCAAGUAAUUUACUACUGUAAAAAGGACUUCACUGUAUUUUUUGAUCAGUUUAAUGGAUCCUUGAAUUAAAGUGUCAAUAUCUUAAAAUCAUAAUGACCCCAAACAUUUGAAUGGUAGCCUACUGUAAAUAUAAAAAUAGUCCUCAUUAAAAACACAACAUAAUAAUCAGCUUUAAUAUUCAGUGAAGACAAUUAACCUACAUUUCAUUUGAUGGGGCCUAUGAGGGACCUGGAUAAUGGGUAGGGGUUGCUGGCCCGAAAAAUGUUGAGAACCACUGCUUUAGCACGUAGAGUUUUGUAUGUUUUGCUUUAAUCAUACUUUUUUUUUUUUUUUUUUAAUUUGUAAGAAUUUAAUGAACAUGCAACUAUGCAGAGUUACAAACCAAAUAUGCAUAAUAAAUGUUUUGUGAUGUUUUAAAGUUUGUUUUAAAUUAUUAUUUUAUCUUUAUAAGCCUUUAUCUUUACCAUUUGAUCUCAUAAUGCACCGACUGAUUCCACUGAUAUUCAAAGCCUGACUAGAAAAUAAAACUUUGUUUAGUUGAUCGUCAACACUGCACAUUAACACCAUCCAAACUAGCAAAAAGCAAAAAAAUAAAAAAAUAAAAUCUUAAAUAUUUCAUAUUUAUUUUAUGCCUUUUCUUUGUUUUCUUUUCUGAAGUACUUUUACUUGUUUAUAAAUCACUCAAUGGCCUAGGACCUAAAUACAUAGCAGAUAUGUUCACUGAAUAUUAACCUAACAGACCACUCAGACCAUUAGGAUCGAGUCCGUUAGAAAUACCAAGGGUUCACACAAGUUUUAGUUAUUAUGCCUUUAUCAGUUGAAAUCAGCUUCCAGAAGAGAUCAGAUGUGCUAAAACAAUAGUCACAUUUAAAUGCAGACUCAUAACUCAUCUGUUUAGCUGUGCAUUUAUUGAACGAGCACUGUGCAAUGUCCGAACUGAAUGCACUAUAUUUGAUGUAUAAUCAUGUUCUAUUCUUAACUGGUUUAAACUCAUUUAAAAACUUUUAAAUCAAUUUUAAAAUCAUUUUCACAGUUUUUAAAUUCAUUGUUUUAUUGUUGUGAUUAUUUUAUUAUUAUUAUUAUUAUUUUCUUUUAUGUAAAGCACUUUGAAUUACCAUUGUGUAUGAAAUGUGUUAUAUAAAUAAACUUGCCUUGCCUUGCCUUGCCUUGCCUUGUUUUACAUUUUUAAAUCCUCAAACUUUCUGUUUAUUUCCUGGAUUAAAAUUCAGAUUUAUGCAGUGGUGAUCAAACUAAACAAAGCAAAGACAUGUUUUGAUCUCUUUAGCCACACUGUCAGAAAAAAUGAAUAAAUAUUUGUCUUUCAAAAUCCAUGACUUUUGUCAGUGGAACUAAAAAUGAGCAAUUUUUAGCAGAAUGUCUGUUCUUUUCGAUACUAUUGAGUGAAUGGUGACCACAGUUGUCAACUAAGAUUUU